CAUAGUCUUUUGGAAAGUUAAGUCUUCAGGUUAAUAUCAGUAAAUAUGUUGAGUCUUUUACGUCAACCAUUAUUAAAAUCGGUGAAAAUUGCACAGUUUGGUGUUAAAAAUUUUUCCAAACCGAUCCCAAGAGUACUCUAUAAGUCAUAUGGAAAAUGUCGGCUUUGUCAUCAACAUAUAUCAUAUGAUAAUAAGACAAAACUUGAAAUCUUCAACAUUGCGUCGACUCAAUUUCUUGACCGCGUGCUUUGGACCACCGUCGAUUUCGUGUUCUUCCUCGUAGUAAUAAUGUGGUUGUUCGAAGAAAAACCCAACAAAAAAAAAAGUUGUUGAUAUCUGUACAUAAUUUGUUGUAUAAUCAGAUUAUUGUGUCAACUUUUUUAAAAUCUUU